GCGAGUGAAGCGGCAACAGCUCAAAUUUGAAAGCUGGCUCAGGCCCGCAUUGUAAUUUGCAGAGGAUGCUUUUGGUGAGGUGCCUUCCGAGUUCCCUGGAACGGGACGCCAUAGAGGGUGAGAGCCCCGUAUGGAUGGCCACCAAACCUGUGUGAAGCUCCUUCAACGAGUCGAGUAGUUUGGGAAUGCUGCUCUAAAUGGGAGGUAAAUCUCUUCUAAAGCUAAAUACCGGCCAGAGACCGAUAGCGCACAAGUAGAGUGAUCGAAAGAUGAAAAGCACCUUGAAAAGGGGGUUAAACAGUACGUGAAAUUGUUGAAAGGGAAGCGCUUGUGACCAGACUUGCGCCGGGCGGCUCAUCAGGGGUUCUCCCCUGUGCACUCUGCCCGGCUCAGGCCAGCAUCGGUUCUCGUGGGAGGAUAAGAACGGUAGGAACGUGGCCCCCUUCCGGGGGGGUGUUAUAGCCUACCGUACGAUACUCCCGUGGGGACCGAGGUUCGCGCUCCGCAAGGAUGC
rnacentral:rRNA from 1 species